rnacentral:rRNA from 1 species
UUGACACUGAACAUUGAGCCUUGAUGUGUAGGAUAGGUGGGAGGCUUUGAAGCGUGGACGCCAGUCUGCAUGGAGCCGACCUUGAAAUACCACCCUUUAAUGUUUGAUGUUCUAACGUGGACCCGUAAUCCGGGUUGCGGACAGUGUCUGGUGGGUAGUUUGACUGGGGCGGUCUCCUCCUAAAGAGUAACGGAGGAGCACGAAGGUUGGCUAAUCCUGGUCGGACAUCAGGAGGUUAGUGCAAUGGCAUAAGCCAGCUUGACUGCGAGCGUGACGGCGCGAGCAGGUGCGAAAGCAGGUCAUAGUGAUCCGGUGGUUCUGAAUGGAAGGGCCAUCGCUCAACGGAUAAAAGGUACUCCGGGGAUAACAGGCUGAUACCGCCCAAGAGUUCAUAUCGACGGCGGUGUUUGGCACCUCGAUGUCGGCUCAUCACAUCCUGGGGCUGAAGUAGGUCCCAAGGGUAUGGCUGUUCGCCAUUUAAAGUGGUACGCGAGCUGGGUUUAGAACGUCGUGAGACAGUUCGGUCCCUAUCUGCCGUGGGCGCUGGAGAACUGAGGGGGGCUGCUCCUAGUACGAGAGGACCGGAGUGGACGCAUCACUGGUGUUCGGGUUGUCAUGCCAAUGGCACUGCCCGGUAGCUAAAUGCGGAAGAGAUAAGUGCUGAAAGCAUCUAAGCACGAAACUUGCCCCGA